GGUUUGAUCAUGGCUCAGAUUGAACGCUGGCGGGAUGCUUUACACAUGCAAGUCGAACGGCAGCACGGACUUCGGUCUUUGGUGGUGAGUGGCGAACGGGUGAGUAAUGUAUCGGAACGUGCCUAGUAGCGGGGGAUAACUACGCGAAAGCGUAGCCAAUACCGCAUACGCCCUUCGGGGGAAAGCGGGGACCUUCGGGCCUCGCACUAUUAGAGCGGCCGAUAUCGGAUUAGCUAGUUGGUGGGGUAACGGCUCACCAAGGCGACGAUCCGUAGCUGGUCAUUUGAGAGGACGACCAGCCACACUGGGACUGAGACACGGCCCAGACUCCUACGGGAGGCAGUAGUGGGGAAUUUUGACAACAAAACCCUGAUCCAGCCAUCCCGCGUGUGCGAUGAAGGCCUUCGGGUUGUAAAGCACUUUUUUUGGCAGGAAAGAAACGGCACGGGAUAAUACCCCGUGCAACUGACGGUACCUGCAGAAUAAGCACCGGCUAACUACGUGCCAGCAGCCGCGGUAAUAAUGUAGGUGCAAGCGUUAAUCGGAAUUACUGGGCGUAAAGCGUGCGCAGGCGGUUCGAAAGAAAGAUGUGGAAUCCCAGAGCUUAACUUUGAACUGCAUUUUUAACUACCGAGCUAUGUGUCAGAGGGAGGUGGAAUUCCGCGUGUAGCAGUGAAAUGCGUAGAUAUGCGGAGGAACACCGAUGGCGAAGGCAGCCUCCUGAUAACACUGACGCUCAUGCACGAAAGCGUGUGGAGCAAACAGGAUUAGACAUUCCGGUAGUCCACGCCCUAAACGAUGUCAACUAGCUGUUGGGGCCUUCGGGCCUUGCAGCGCAGCUAAUGCGUGAAGUUGACCGCCCAGAGUACGGUCGCAAGAUUAAAACUCAAAGGAAUUGACGGGGACCCGCACAAGCGGUGGAUGAUGUGGAUUAAUUCGAUGCAACGCGAAAACCUUACCUACCCUUGACAUGUCUGAAAUCCCGAAGAGAUUUGGGAGUGCUCGCAAGAGAACCGGAACACAGGUGCUGCAUGGCUGUCGUCAGCUCGUGUCGUGAGAUGUUGGGUUAAGUCCCGCAACGAGCGCAACCCUUGUCAUUAGUUGCUACGAAAGGGCACUCUAAUGAGACUGCCGGUGACAAACCGGAGGAAGGUGGGAUGACGUCAAGUCCUCAUGGCCCUUAUGGGUAGGCUUCACACGUCAUACAAUGGUCGGGACAGAGGGUCGCCAACCCGCGAGGGGGAGCCAAUCCCAGAAACCCGAUCGUAGUCCGGAUCGCAGUCUGCAACUCGACUGCGUGAAGUCGGAAUCGCUAGUAAUCGCGGAUCAGCAUGUCGCGGUGAAUACGUUCCUGGUCUUGUACACACCGCCCGUCACACCAUGGGAGUGGGUUUUACCAGAAGUAGUUAGCCUAACCGUAAGGAGGGCGAUUAACACCACGGUAGGAUUCAUGACCGGGGUGAAGUCGUAACAAGGUAG
rnacentral:rRNA from 1 species